rnacentral:rRNA from 1 species
GAUGAACGCUGGCGGCGUGCCUAAUACAUGCAAGUCGAGCGAACGGACGAGAAGCUUGCUUCUCUGACGUUAGCGGCGGACGGGUGAGUAACACGUGGAUAACCUACCUAUAAGACUGGGAUAACUUCGGGAAACCGGAGCUAACCCCGGAUAAUAUUUUGAACCGCAUGGGUCAAAAGAGAAAGACGGUCUUGCUGUCACUUAUAGAUGGAUCCGCGCUGCAUUAGCUAGUUGGUAAGGUAACGGCUUACCAAGGCAACGAUGCAUAGCCGACCGGAGGGGGUGAUCGGCCACACUGGAACGUAGACACGGUCCAGACUCCUACGGGAGGCAGCAGUAGGGAAUCGUACGCAGUGGGCGAGAGCCUGACAGAACAACGCCGCGUGAGUGAUGGAGGUCUUCGGAUCGUAAAACUCUGUUAUUAGGGAAGAACAUAUGUGUAAGUAACUGUGCACAGCUUGACGGUACCUGAUCAGAAAGCCACGGCUAACUACGUG